UGCUGCCAACUACUACUUCUAGAACCAAGCCCGGUAAUACAAAGCAUCUGGAAGCUUUUCUUCAUUCUAUGACCUGCUCAGUUCAACAGCACUGAAAAACCUGCUUCAAAAAUCUGAUGAUUAAUGGCCAGAAGUCUCACAGGAGCAAGUGGAUGAUUCAGACUGAGCAUCAGGGAAGUAUCAGAAUCUGCUAGAAACUAUAGGAUUCAUCACAAUCACCAAAUUAUUUCACCAUUAAAUCUGAACAGCAUCUGAUCAAGAAUAAAAACUAGAGAAAACCAUCCCAAAAUGCCCAACAUAUUUGAUAACAACCAUCUAACUUCAGACACCAUGAAAUAAAGUAAAAUCUUUGUCUCUAGAAUAGGGUAUGAGUUACAACAGAUGAACAAAAUAUACAUUGUUAAUGUUGUGACUUUGAGUACCCUCAUGUCUAUGGGUAGGUUUAUUUAGUGAAGCAAUUCUAUGAAGUAACUUUGCUUUCUUUAUGUAGAUCUGACUCCAGACUGAGAAGUACCUAAAAUAUAUCAUUGUAGUAGCACCUAAAUGAAAAUAGAAAUUUAAAAAAUUGGUCACUGAAGACAGAAAGCAAUUUAUCUAAAUGAUACAACAGUGACAGAUUUACGACAACUUACUUCACUAAGAUUUGGGAAUGAAAUGCCAUUAAAGAUGAAAGUCUAAUUAUUAGAAAAGAAAAACCAAAACAAUCAAG